GACGAACGCUGGCGGCGUGCCUAAUACAUGCAAGUCGAACGCAUUUUCUUUCACCGUAGCUUGCUACACCGAAAGAAAAUGAGUGGCGAACGGGUGAGUAACACGUGGGUAACCUGCCCAUCAGCGGGGGAUAACACUUGGAAACAGGUGCUAAUACCGCAUAAUUCCAUUUACCGCAUGGUAGAUGGGUGAAAGGCGCUUUUGCGUCACUGAUGGAUGGACCCGUGGUGCAUUAGCUAGUUGGUGGGGUAACGGCCUACCAAGGCUGCGAUGCAUAGCCGACCUGAGAGGGUGAUCGGCCACACUGGGACUGAGACACGGCCCAGACUCCUACGGGAGGCAGCAGUAGGGAAUCUUCGGCAAUGGACGCAAGUCUGACCGAGCAACGCCGCGUGAGUGAAGAAGGUUUUCGGAUUGUAAAACUCUGUUGUUAGAGAAGAACAAGGAUGAGAGUGGAAAGUUCAUCCCUUGACGGUAGCUAACCAGAAAGCCACGGCUAACUACGUG
rnacentral:rRNA from 1 species